UGACAGGCAGGCUCGGUUCAACGUACUGAGUAAGAAUAUAUUUUAAGUUUUCAGAUUCGACCCCAUUUGGUCACCGAAAACUGUACCGAACUGUAAUCUUUAUCAGAUAACUGUCGGAUUUUAUUUCUCACUCUACGGGUGUCAGAAAAAUAUGAAACUUUAAAUCUAGCCUCAUAAAAAUAUUUCUAACUUAUCCUCCAAUUUUUAUAAUUUUCUGAGACUGUGCAUUUUCUGCUAAUUUAUCUGUCCCGUUUCCAACAGAAAUUUUAAAUCUUCUGUUUUCAUUCCGAUUUCAGCACAAGUCACUUCUGACUUAUGUUUUACUUCUAUAAAUCCAAUAAAAAUAGUUUCUCACACUAU
rnacentral:lncRNA from 1 species